GACGAACGCUGGCGGCGUGCUUAACACAUGCAAGUCGAACGGGCUGCCUGGUUUUCGGAUCGGGUGGUGAGUGGCGAACGGGUGAGUAACACGUGAGUAACCUGCCCCUCUCUUUGGGAUAACGUCGGGAAAUCGGCGCUAAUACCGGGUAUUCUGGCUUCCUCGCAUGGGGUUGUUGGGAAAGGUUUUUUCUGGUGGGGGAUGGGCUCGCGGCCUAUCAGCUUGUUGGUGGGGUGAUGGCCUACCAAGGCGGGGACGGGUAGCCGGCCUGAGAGGGUGUCCGGCCACACUGGGACUGAGACACGGCCCAGACUCCUACGGGAGGCAGCAGUGGGGAAUAUUGCACAAUGGGCGGAAGCCUGAUGCAGCGACGCCGCGUGGGGGAUGACGGCCUUCGGGUUGUAAACCUCUUUCAGUGCAGAACAAGGCUCUUUGUGGGUUGAGGGUAUGCGCAGAAGAAGCGCCGGCUAACUACGUG
rnacentral:rRNA from 1 species